GCCAGACUCCUACGGGAGGCAGCAGUGGGGGAUAUUGCACAAUGGGGGAAACCCUGAUGCAGCGACGCCGCGUGAGUGAAGAAGUAUUUCGGUAUGUAAAGCUCUAUCAGCAGGGAAGAAAAAAGACGGUACCUGACUAAGAAGCCCCGGCUAACUACGUGCCAGCAGCCGCGGUAAUACGUAGGGGGCAAGCGUUAUCCGGAUUUACUGGGUGUAAAGGGAGCGUAGACGGCAAUACAAGUCGGAAGUGAAAUACCCGGGCUCAACCUGGGAAUUGCUUUGGAAACUGUAUGGCUGGAGUGCUGGAGAGGUAAGCGGAAUUCCUAGUGUAGCGGUGAAAUGCGUAGAUAUUAGGAGGAACACCAGUGGCGAAGGCGGCUUACUGGACAGUAACUGACGUUGAGGCUCGAAAGCGUGGGGAGCGAACAGGAUUAGAUACCCCAGUA
rnacentral:rRNA from 1 species